rnacentral:rRNA from 1 species
UACGGGAGGGGGCUAGCGUUGUUCGGAAUUACUGGGCGUAAAGCGCACGUAGGCGGCUUUGCAAGUUAGAGGUGAAAGCCCGGGGCUUAACCCCGGAAUUGCCUUUAAAACUGCAUCGCUAGAAUUGUGGAGAGGUGAGUGGAAUUCCGAGUGUAGAGGUGAAAUUCGUAGAUAUUCGGAAGAACACCAGUGGCGAAGGCGACUCACUGGACACAUAUUGACGCUGAGGUGCGAAAGCGUGGGGAGCAAACAGG